rnacentral:lncRNA from 1 species
UUUGCUUGACACUGAUUUGCGUGACACUCUAUAUACUCUAUACUCUGAUAAAAUUUUACCAUCCGAAAAGAGAAAAAAACCUCUAAAAAAAUUCUUUAAAAAAGGGCAGAUGUAUAUAAACUUUCAAAGAAAGAGUUGUUUUUCAAUUUUUCUAUCCAAAUUGAAGCGAUUGUACCCGUAUAUAAUACCGUCGCUCCUUACCUGGACAGGGCAACAAACUCUACUUUUACCAUUUAUAGAGACUAAAAAGAGAAAAAAACCUCUAAAAAAAUUCUUUAAAAAAGGGCAGAUGUAUAGAAACUUUCAAAGAAAGAGUUGUUUUUCAAUUUUUCUAUCCAAAUUGAAGCGAUUGUACCCGUAUAUAAUACCGUCACUCCUUACCUGGACAGGGCAACAAACUCUACUUUUACCAUUUAUAGAGACUUUUUGGGAUCUAGUUGUAAUACUAAGGAAGAGUCCUAAAUGGAAAAAAUUUGUAUCUAUUUUUUCUCCUAGUAAUUUUUACAUGGAGCCAAGGCAAUUCUUCGGGAAAUUGCACAACGGAACCGUAUAAGUGAGAUUUCGAGUAAGUGUUUACAUAAUUUUGUUGUAGACGUGUACGAAGAUCUUUUUCACACAAAUAAUGAGCCACCAUUCCAUCUGAGAUCACUAAAUAUUGAGGAGUUCCUGUUUUCAAUCCUUUUACUUCUUCUUAUUACUGGAUAUUUAGUUUAUGCACAUCUUGUCUGUGUUUCUGGAUUCUCUAACGAGUUACAGACAGAGUUCGAACAGGUCAAAUCUUUGAUGAUUCCAUCCUACAUCAUUGAAUUGCGAAAACUUCUGGAUAGGUAUCUUACAUCAGAA